UUAGAAUGAACGACGAAAAACAACAUGUGCUGAACUCAAAAUGAGAUGUGUACUUGGAAGAAUGGGACAGUGUAAGAUUGUGUGAAAGAUGAAGUAUUUGAGGUCAAUAAAGAGUAGGAAAUUGUGAGCAGAAAAGUGAAGUAAAAAAGGAAUUGAAGAGAGAAAUAGCAGAAGAGAUACAAGAAUCUGAGUUUAAUAUGACAGAGACUAUGCCAACAAUGGAAGAGAGAGUCUGUGACAAUGCAGAAGUUUUAAGA
rnacentral:lncRNA from 1 species